rnacentral:misc_RNA from 1 species
UUCUUUGUUUUGCUCGGCGGAGUUCCAUCGUCGACUGCCUUGUUCGACCCUCCACUCUCGCGGUCCAGCGAGUCGUGGGCGGGCGACGGGCGCGAAGACGGAAUGACCGUGUCGGCACGUGAGCGGUGAUGGAUUCGUAUGCCACGGCGGGCUCCCUGCCACUGCGCAGCCAACCGCCGUCGCUGCACUCCCUUCAUUCUUUGCUCCGACCGUCGUCUCGGAGCCUCGACGCGUUGCCUGUGCGAUCUACCCGGUCGUCGGGAAUACGACUUCGCCCCACGUGCUCAUCCGUUCCCCCCGCCGCGCGCGGGCGAGGAGCGGCAACGUCAGCGGUCCCCGUGCGCCCUCGAACGACGGCACGGCUCCGGCCCCUCGUCUCGAUCGGCCCUCGGUGCACCGCGAGCGCUCGCGGAUGCGGCAUACACGGUUGGCCCGGGGGUCCAUUCGCCCUCGCGCCACGAUCGGUCGGCUCACUUCGCCGCCCUCGACCAGACGACUGUCGCCCCAUCGUCGCCCCCCUCGCCACUCGGCGUCGGGCGGGCGCGGCGGGCGCGGCGUCNCGGANGACGUGCUACCUGGUUGAUCCUGCCAGUAGUCAUAUGCUUGUCUCAA